AUACUUACCUGGCAGGGGAGAUGCCAUGGUCACGAAGGUGGUUUUCCAGGGGCGAGGCUUACCCAUUGCACUCCGCAUGUGCAGACCUCGGCAAUUUCCCCAAAUGUGGGAAACUCGACUGCAUGAUUUGGGGCGGGGGGGGGGGGGGACUGUGUUCACACUCUCCCCUA
ensembl:snRNA U1 U1 spliceosomal RNA